rnacentral:ncRNA from 1 species
AUCGCGCCUGGUCGGAACAUAACGACGGCGGGCCGGUGGGGAAUCAGGGGGCUACCGUGGGAUAGCGAUGAGACAGCCCCUCCGAUGGCACCAAGCGUCGGAUCGCGGAAAGGCUUGGAAGG